rnacentral:misc_RNA from 1 species
UAGUACAAUAGAGGCACCUGGGCUGUCGCUGUCCUUAAAAGGAUGUGCACGCCCAGAGUGCUCUCUCACAUCCAUCUCACCCCUUUGUGCAUCACCGCGUGGGGCCCUCUCUUUUGGCUUGUUCCAGAGGGAGGGGUUCACGUUUUUACAAAAACAACCCAUUAAUGCAUGUAGUAGAAUGUCUUACUUUUUUGCGGUCACACGCAAUCAAUA